UCAGUUUUCUUCUAGAAAAAGUAGCCAUCAGCCAUACAGUAGAAUGCGUAGAUUAAGCCACUUGUUCUUUAAUUUGAAGGAUGCAUCAAUAGACCUUGAUUCAGUCCAUUAACAAACAUUUUAUGGACACCAUAUCUGACCCAGAAAACAGUUCUUCAUGUCAUAGCUAAGAAAAUGUUGUUCUACUCAUCACAAUUUUGGAACCAACCAUUUAAGUAGCUA
rnacentral:lncRNA from 1 species